GACGAACGCUGGCGGCGUGCUUAACACAUGCAAGUCGAACGGAGUGGCGAACGGGUGUGUAACACGUGGGUGACCUGCCCUGCACUUCGGGAUAAGCCUGGGAAACUGGGUCUAAUAACGGAUAGCGUGGGAUGGGCCCGCGGCCUAUCAGCUUGUUGGUGGGGUAAUGGCCUACCAAGGCGGCGACGGGUAGCCGGCCUGAGAGGGUGGACGGCCACAUUGGGACUGAGACACGGCCCAGACUCCUACGGGAGGCAGCAGUGGGGAAUAUUGCACAAUGGGCGGAAGCCUGAUGCAGCGACGCCGCGUGGGUGAAGACGGCCUUCGGGUUGUAAAACUCUGUUAUUGGGGAGGAAGUAAAUGUGCACAUCUUGACGGUACCUAAUCAAAAAGCCACGGCUAACUCCGUGCCAGCAGCCGCGGUAAUUC
rnacentral:rRNA from 1 species